rnacentral:rRNA from 1 species
UAGGGAAUCUUCGGCAAUGGACGAAAGUCUGACCGAGCAACCCCGCGUGAGUGAAGAAGGUUUUCGGAUCGUAAAACUCUGUUGUUAUAGAAGAACAAGGACGUUAGUAACUGAACGUCCCCUGACGGUAUCUAACCAGAAAGCCACGGCUAACUACGUGCCAGCAGCCGCGGUAAUACGUAGGUGGCAAGCGUUGUCCGGAUUUAUUGGGCGUAAAGCGAGCGCAGGCGGUUUCUUAAGUCUGAUGUGAAAGCCCCCGGCUCAACCGGGGAGGGUCAUUGGAAACUGGGAGACUUGAGUGCAGAAGAGGAGGGUGGAAUUCCAUGUGUAGCGGUGAAAUGCGUAGAUAUAUGGAGGAACACCAGUGGCGAAGGCGGCUCGCUGGUCUGUAACUGACGCUGAGGCUCGAAAGCGUGGGGAGCAAACAGG